rnacentral:rRNA from 1 species
UUAAAUUGAAGAGUUUGAUCAUGGCUCAGAUUGAACGCUGGCGGCAGGCCUAACACAUGCAAGUCGAACGGUAACAGGAAACAGCUUGCUGUUUCGCUGACGAGUGGCGGACGGGUGAGUAAUGUCUGGGAAACUGCCUGAUGGAGGGGGAUAACUACUGGAAACGGUAGCUAAUACCGCAUAAUGUCGCAAGACCAAAGAGGGGGACCUUCGGGCCUCUUGCCAUCGGAUGUGCCCAGAUGGGAUUAGCUAGUAGGUGGGGUAACGGCUCACCUAGGCGACGAUCCCUAGCUGGUCUGAGAGGAUGACCAGCCACACUGGAACUGAGACACGGUCCAGACUCCUACGGGAGGCAGCAGUGGGGAAUAUUGCACAAUGGGCGCAAGCCUGAUGCAGCCAUGCCGCGUGUAUGAAGAAGGCCUUCGGGUUGUAAAG